rnacentral:lncRNA from 1 species
UUAUCAAGUUCGUUCUUUUCCAAUUUAAAAAUUAAACAAUAAUUAAUUAUGAAUACAUUAAUCAAUAUGGUCAUUCUCAUCAUGGCUUGAAAUCUUCUACUUGAAACAAAUAAGCUUGUCUACAUUUCCCAAAUGGCUCAAACAAAAAGAUUUGAAUUGUAUAUAUUUCACAUGAAGGAUUGACGCUGCCAUCAGUGAUAUUUAAGGCUUUGAAGUUAUGAACAAGUUAUAGCAGCAAAGAUUGAGAAAGUACCCACCAUAUGACAUAUUCGGAUCAUGGGAGUUGUAGGUAUUUAGUUGGUGGACAGAGCUAUAAUCUCUACUGUCAGCAGAUUCUGGCUGUUCUGUGACAUCUUUUGCUGGUCCAAUGAUGGCUGCAUCCGGAGAAGGAUUUGCUGAAACAAUCCUUUCAUCUUUGGGCGAAAGUAGCUGAUAAUAGAUUUCAAAAUGAAGAGCUAUUGCAACAAUUCACCUAAUCUUACCAAAAUAUAGAAAUUAAUGUAGCCAAAACAUACAAAGGAAUUCCCAAAACAGCAUACCUGCUCUGUUGAAUUAUCUGGCUUAACAGGUCUCUCUCCUGCGCUCAGCAUUAAAAUUCAGUGGCUCAGUACAACUAAACAAACACAGAAAUCACAAAGCACUGAUCCCAGAAAACAAUAAAUAGAUCCAGUCACACAUGCAUAUUUGACACACAAAUCAUGGAAGGUAAAAGGUGAAAAAGAUAAUAAACACACAUGUUUGCUCUUCGUGCUGCCGUGCACCCUAGAUGCAGUUCAUAGUGGUUUCACUUGGGAACUAGUCUAGCUUAUUCACAUUCCAAAUCCUUGAUUCUACAAUAUCAGAAACAUCUUUUGAGGCUAAAAUUAUCGCAGUGUUUGAGCACAUACAUAUAUGUACAUACCAAAUUGUUUUUCACAUGCAGCCAGAAGACAAGCAGUCCGAAAUACCCAUAAAAAGGAACGAAGUUAAAACCAAAAUACACACACACACAAAAAUAAGCAGAGCAUACUAUCAUCCCACCCAAAAUGGGAUAUUUUAAAACCGCAUUAAGUCCGUUCUUUCGAAUUUCACUUCGUCUUUUUCUAUAUUAAAUGAUUGCACGAGGACAGAAGUAAGUAUAUAUAACAAAUUCCAAAACCCUAGAACCAAUGGCUAAUAUUAAACAUUAAAAAAAAAAUUGAAUCAAACAUAAUUACUCAAAUUAAAACAAAAAGAAAAAAGAAAAAAAUAGGUUUAAUAUCAAACCUAAACAAACAUAAAAGAACAAAUGAAUCAAAUUAGCAAAUUUAUAAAGCCAUAUAAAAUCUUAUGUACAUACCUGUAGGAACAAUUCGAUCGUGAUCGGGGAGUGGCGUGGCCAUGAAUCAGAGAUCUAAAAGCACGAGACUUGAAUCUCCGGCAAAAAAAUAAAAAUAAAAUCCUAACUCUAAAUCGAGAGAAAAAAAUUUUGAGAGGGAAAAAAGAAAUCUUGAAAAGAGAGGGAGGAAAAAAAUAAAAAAGAAAGAAAGGGUUUUUUGGGUUUUGGAUUUUUUUUUUCUCAUUUAUUUUGAGAAAAGAUAUGCGAGUUUAUUAUAUAGUAAGAGUUGGUUAAAAAUAUUAAUGUUUUUAUUUAUUAAUUUAUUUAUAGUGCAAAGUGAUUAGUUAACUAGUGGCGGUUCUGUUUUAAAUUUGAGAGAAUUUUGAGUUCAUUAAUAUAUUGAGAAUAACCAUCCCAAGUAGUGUUGUUUCCAUAACCUGAAGCCACAGAGAAUGUAAAACGUAUUACCACCCUGAUAUCCUAUGAAAGCAUAAGAGGUAGCAGAAGAAAUUGCAAGCAUUAUCAAGUUCGUUCUUUUCCAAUUUAAAAAUUAAACAAUAAUUAAUUAUGAAUACAUUAAUCAAUAUGGUCAUUCUCAUCAUGGCUUGAAAUCUUCUACUUGAAACAAAUAAGCUUGUCUACAUUUCCCAAAUGGCUCAAACAAAAAGAUUUGAAUUGUAUAUAUUUCACAUGAAGGAUUGACGCUGCCAUCAGUGAUAUUUAAGGCUUUGAAGUUAUGAACAAGUUAUAGCAGCAAAGAUUGAGAAAGUACCCACCAUAUGACAUAUUCGGAUCAUGGGAGUUGUAGGUAUUUAGUUGGUGGACAGAGCUAUAAUCUCUACUGUCAGCAGAUUCUGGCUGUUCUGUGACAUCUUUUGCUGGUCCAAUGAUGGCUGCAUCCGGAGAAGGAUUUGCUGAAACAAUCCUUUCAUCUUUGGGCGAAAGUAGC